rnacentral:rRNA from 1 species
GCGGCGUGCCUAACACAUGCAAGUCGAGCGGAGAAUGCGGAAAUGUUUACAUGGAUGUAUUCUUAGCGGCGGACGGGUGAGUAACACGUGGGUAACCUGCCUCAAAGAGGGGGAUAGCCUUCCGAAAGGAAGAUCAAUACCGCAUAAGCUUACAGCAUCGCAUGAUGCCGUAAGAAAAGGAGCAAUCCGCUUUGAGAUGGACCCGCGGCGCAUUAGCUAGUUGGUGAGGUAACGGCUCACCAAGGCCACGAUGCGUAGCCGACCUGAGAGGGUGAUCGGCCACAUUGGAACUGAGACACGGUCCAGACUCCUACGGGAGGCAGCAGUGGGGAAUAUUGCACAAUGGGCGAAAGCCUGAUGCAGCAACGCCGCGUGAGUGAUGAAGGCUUCCGAGUCGUAAAGCUCCUUGAUCAGGGAUGAUAUGACAGUACCUGAAAAACAGCCACGGCUACUACGUGCCAGCAGCCGCGGUAAUACGUAGGUGCAACGUUGUCCGGAAUACUGG